rnacentral:rRNA from 1 species
UACGUAGGGUGCGAGCGUUGUCCGGAAUUAUUGGGCGUAAAGAGCUCGUAGGUGGUUUGUCGCGUCUGUCGUGAAAGACCCCGGCUCAACUGGGGAGGGUCGUGCGAUACGGGCAGACUGGAGGCCAGUAGGGGGAUGCGGAAUUCCGGGUGUAGUGGUGGAAUGCGUAGAGAUCCGGAGGAACACCAGCGGCGAAGGCGGCAUCCUGGACUGGUCCUGACACUCAGGAGCGAAAGCGUGGGGAGCGAUCCGG